CUGUCUUCUCUGCAUUCGGAUGUUGGCUGAUGUGUGUGGAUUGCAGUCUGUUCUUUCUAGUUUAAUCUCUAGAACGCAACUACGGUUGCAUUCAAGAUUAUUCUUCUUUUUGGAAUCAGUACCCCUCUCACUGGGCUUGCUUAUAGUUGGGGGCACGGUGACUCUGGCCUUGCACUACUGCUGGAUGUCGCGACUGAGG
rnacentral:snRNA from 1 species